rnacentral:lncRNA from 1 species
AGAAAAGAGAAACCUGUGUGGUGACGGAUAUGUUAUUUAUCCUGAUGAGGGGAAUCCUUUUGCAAUGUAUCAAAUCAUGUCAUUGUAAAGAGAUAACACGUUUAUUUGGCAGUGAUGCCCUAUUAAAACUGGAAAAAUUCCCCCCCAAACCAAAAAAGAAGAAAAAAAUGUCAAACUCACAGAAACAGAGGAGAAUGGUGAUUGCCAGGAGCUGGGGGAAGAGGAAAGAGGGAGCUGCUGUCCGACAGGCACAAAGUUUCAGUCGUGCAAGAUGAAGGCAUCAGAAGAGAUCACAUCCAUGUGCUUAGAGAACGUCACGUGUGCUCUGCGUCCUCCACGUAGGCAGGGCGGGAUGGCUGAAGUGGGCUGGAGUCCCCACAGGUGGCUGGAGAUGCUCAUGUUCUAUCCCAGGACCAACAAACAGAACCAGAAGAAGAAGCAGAAAGUUGAGCCACCCACGCCACAGACUGUGCUUUGUGACCUGCCUUUGCCUGGAGGAGUCACACCUUGCAUGCUGAUAACAAUUCUGGGCACAGUGAAGCGCAAUGCAAACAGGCUUGCUUGAGAUUUCAAGAGAGGGCAUGAUGUCGCCUUCCACUGUAACCCGCGCUUCAGUAAGAACAACAGGGGAGCCAUUGUUUGCAUUACAAAGCUGGAUAAUAUCUGGGGAAAGGAAGAAAGACAGGCAGAUUUCCCCUUUGAAAGUGGUAAACCAAAACAGUUUCUGAGGGAAGAACCAUCAACAGCUUUUACUUGAUUGCUGGAAGAACGCAGCAAUCAGUGGAUGAGAAAGGAAAGUCUGAGUGAGUUCUACUUUCUUUAAGUCUCCAAAUGGACACUUAAGGGGGAAAAUGCUGAUCCAGAGCAAUGGCUGACAGUGUUCCGGAUUAAGUGAGAGCCUAUUCAUCCUCUAAACAUGUAAGACUGAUUGGGAAACAGCUCUAUAUUUGUUUUCUAGAAAGACUCCACAGUUUAUACUUGUGGCCAACUAAUGUUACAUUUUGUCAUUCUUACUAAUUUUUUAUAGCAAUACCUCUUGCUCUUGAUGUCUCAAUACUUUAACUAAAAAUGCUCAUAAUUUCUAAUGGUAGAUCCAAGGAUAUUGUUAUUAUUGUUGUUGUCAUUAUCAGUAUUUUAAAGUACCAUUUAUUGAAAAUCUACUAUUUGCCAGGUACUGUAAUAUAAUUUAUCUUAAAACUCCAUGGAGAAGAGACUGUUAUCAAACUGAGGUUUAUGAAGGAUUACGUCUCUUGCCCAAGGCCAUAUAUGGCCUUCAACAUUUGGAUUUAAAACAGUGGCAGGGUAGAGAUUAAAACCCAAGUCAAAGCCCACACUCUUUGCCACUAUCCUGUACACAUCUUGGGCCGCUGCUAGACACACCGGAACCACCUGUUGGAUAUGCCAGAAACAUCUGCUGGAUACGCUGAAACCACCUGCCAAAUAUGCCAGAAUCAGGUCCCGGACAUGGUGGAAACACCUGCCAGACACGUCCAAAUCACCUGUCAGAUACGCCAAAACCAUGUGCCACACAUGCCGGAACCACCUCGUGGACACAUCUGCUGGAUACUCCAGAAACAGGAAAACCACAGGACGGAACCAGGUGCCAGACAAGCGUGAAGCCCCUUCCAGACUAGCCUGAACCACUUGCUGGACCAGCCUGAAUCACUUUAUGGACAUUCCAGAACCACAUGCCCAGCACGCUAAAACCGAGUGACUGACACGCCAGAAUCCCCUGCUGAGCACACCUGAACCGGUCACUGUGAAACCACCUGCCGGAUACACCAGAACCAGGUGCCGGACAUGCCAGAACCACCUGCCAGAUACACCAGACACAGGUGUUGCACAUGCUGAAACCAGGUUCCCAACAUGACUGAACCACCUGCCAGACACGUUGGAGCCACCUGCCGGAUAUGCCAAAAAACAGCUGUUGCACAUGCUGGAACCAGGUGCUGGACACACCUGAACCACCUGCUGGACAAGCUUCAACCACCUGCUAGACACAAGGGACCCACUUGCCGGACACGCCGUCAUCACCUUCAGGAAACGCCAGAACCAUCAAGUGAACAUGCCGGAAGCACCAGCCGAACAUGCCAGAGCCAGGUGCUUGACACGCCAUAUCUGCCUGCCAGACACACUGAAAUCACCUGCCAGAUAUGCCAGAACCAGGUCCCGGAUACGCCAGAACCAACUUCCAGGCAAGCCAGAAAAAUCUGCCGGACACGCCGGAACCACCCCUCAGAGUGGCCAAAACCACGAAAGUGAAAUGACGGGAUCAUGUCCUGGGCAUGUUGUAGCCACAUGUCAGACACGCUGGAAUCAACCGCUGGACAUGCUGGAACCAACUGCUGGACACCCCGGAAGCACCCACCGCACAUGUCAGAACCACCUUCUGGACAUACUGGAAACUCAUGCCAGACAACAGGAACCCCCUGCCUGACAAGCUGGAACCACCUGAA